rnacentral:rRNA from 1 species
GUCUCAGUUCGGAUUGGAGUCUGNAACCCGACUCCAUGAAGCUGGAUUCGCUAGUAAUCGCGCAUCAGCCACGGCGCGGUGAAUACGUUCCCGGGCCUUGUACACACCGCCCGUCAAGCCAUGGAAGCCGGGAGUGCCUGAAGUGCGUGAGCGCAAGCAGCGCCCUAAGGUAAAACCGGUGACUGGGGCUAAGUCGUAACAAGGUAGC